AAUUAAAGAUAUAUUGGGCCAAAGUUAUAGUGAUUAUAUAUAAUUAAAUUAUAGUUUUUAGGUGUGUGGGCUUAUUUUAUACUUUAAGUAGUCCCUGGGAAGAGGUCAUAUGUAUAUAAAAAUAUGAAAUACAUAGCAGUAUUUAUAUAUUUAUAUUUCAUAAAUAUAUACAAGUAUUUCUGUAUCUGUAGAAAUAAAAGAGCAUCUGUAUGGGCCUAAAUCUGCAAUUCUAUGGGAAAAAGCAGUAUUUUUAGGUAUGUAGCUUUUAAGAAUUAAGAGGCAAUGUUACAGCCUGUAACAACACUCUGAUGCAGGAAAAAAGGGUAAGACAACAUUAAAAGAAUAUUUAAAACAACAAAAAAAUCCCAAACCAAAACAAAACCAAAAAAAAAAAAAAGCAUGGUACCUUGGCUACAGCCUCCAACAACGAGCGUGUGGAUGUUACGGGAUUUGGUUUUUUUUAAUGGUAUUACCACGUCUGAUCACACCAAUAUAUGAUUUUAAUUAAGCGAAUGGCGGGCGAGCUGUCGUGGGGAGCAGGCGAGCAGCGAUGGCUUCUUCCCAUUCCACUCCGGCUGCGAUGAUAAAUCAAUCCUCGUGCGUUUGGGAUUUUUUUUUUUUUUUUUUUUUUUUUUCCUUAAGCACUUUUGGGGAUUUUCCAUGCCGUGAGGAGACCGGGAGAUGGCGGCUUCAACCCCUGCGAAGGAGAACAGCGGUGGAAAAGCGAAGAAUUAGGCAUAAAACUACCCAGCUUGGGAGUUUCUCUUUUUCCUCACGAAACAAAAAACCCCGCCUAGAGCCCCAUCGCCUCAGCAAAAAAACAAACAAACAAUAAAAUAAAAACCCAACAUACUCAGAUGAAGCAAUCCAAUAAAUGAGAUUAAAGCAUAUUCCCCAGCUCGGCUGUGAGGAAAAGUUUAGCAGCACGGAGAAUUAAGGAGAAAUCCACGCUUGGGCUGUUCCUUGUAUAAUCCCAGCUGGUGUUCACCUCUCCCAGAAUCAGCAGGAUCCGACCAAUUUUUAUUUAAGAAAUAAAAUUUUUUUUUAGGCUGUG